rnacentral:rRNA from 1 species
GACGAACGCUGGCGGCGUGCUUAACACAUGCAAGUCGAACGGUGAAGCGCCUUCCUUUUUGGUGGGUGUGGAUGAGUGGCGAACGGGUGAGUAACACGUGAGUAACCUGCCCCCUUCUUCUGGAUAACCGCAUGAAAGUGUGGCUAAUACGGGAUAUUCUGGGUCUGUCGCAUGAUGGGUCUGGGAAAGAUAUUGUUUCGGUGGGGGAUGGGCUCGCGGCCUAUCAGCUUGUUGGUGGGGUGAUGGCCUACCAAGGCGGUGACGGGUAGUCGGCCUGAGAGGGUGGACGGUCACACUGGGACUGAGACACGGCCCAGACUCCUACGGGAGGCAGCAGUGGGGAAUAUUGCACAAUGGGCGCAAGCCUGAUGCAGCGACGCCGCGUGAGGGAUGGAGGCCUGCGGGUUGUGAACCUCUUUCGCCAGUGAAGCAGGCCUGCCUCGUUUGUGGGUGGGUUGACGGUAGCUGGAUAAGAAGCGCCGGCUAACUACGUG